AUUCCAGCUCCAAUAGCGUAUAUUAAAGUUGUUGCAGUUAAAAAGCUCGUAGUUGAACUUUGGGCUUGGUCAGCCGGUCCGCUUUUUUGCGUGUACUGGUCCUGACCGAGCCUUUCCUUCUGGCUAACCUGUCUCUCGGGGCAGGCGAACCAGGACUUUUACUUUGAAAAAAUUAGAGUGUUCAAAGCAGGCCUUUGCUCGAAUAUAUUAGCAUGGAAUAAUAGAAUAGGACGUCUGGUUCUAUUUUGUUGGUUUCUAGGACCAUCGUAAUGAUUAAUAGGGACGGUCGGGGGCAUCAGUAUUCAAUUGUCAGAGGUGAAAUUCUUGGAUUUAUUGAAGACUAACUACUGCGAAAGCAUUUGCCAAGGACGUUUUCAUUA
rnacentral:rRNA from 1 species